ACUCUCGGCAACGGAUAUCUCGGCUCUCGCAUCGAUGAAGAACGUAGCGAAAUGCGAUACUUGGUGUGAAUUGCAGAAUCCCGUGUACCAUCGAGUCUUUGAACGCAAGUUGCGCCCAAAGCCAUCAGGUUGAGGGCACGUCUGCCUGGGCGUCACGC
rnacentral:rRNA from 1 species